rnacentral:tRNA from 1 species
GCCUGGGUAGCUCAGUUGGUUAAGCGUCUGACUUCAGCUCAGGUCAUGAUCUCAGUCCGUGAGUUUGAGCCCCGCGUCAGGCU